GCCGGGUGUGGUGGCUCACGCCUGUAAUCCCAGCACUUUGGGAGGCAGAGGUGGGUGGAUCACCUGAGGUCAGGAGUUUGAGACCAGCCUGGCCAACAUGGUGAAACCCUGUCUCUA
rnacentral:SRP_RNA from 2 species